GCCGCAUUAGCUCAGUUGGUAGAGCACAUCAUUCGUAAUGAUGGGGUCGGGGGUUCGAAUCCCUCAUGCGGCACCA
rnacentral:tRNA from 1 species